rnacentral:rRNA from 1 species
AGUCGAACGAGUUCUGAUUAUUGAAAGGUGCUUGCAUCUUGAUUUAAUUUUGAACGAGUGGCGGACGGGUGAGUAACACGUGGGUAACCUGCCCUUAAGUGGGGGAUAACAUUUGGAAACAGAUGCUAAUACCGCAUAAAUCCAAGAACCGCAUGGUUCUUGGCUGAAAGAUGGCGUAAGCUAUCGCUUUUGGAUGGACCCGCGGCGUAUUAGCUAGUUGGUGAGGUAACGGCUCACCAAGGCAAUGAUACGUAGCCGAACUGAGAGGUUGAUCGGCCACAUUGGGACUGAGACACGGCCCAAACUCCUACGGGAGGCAGCAGUAGGGAAUCUUCCACAAUGGACGCAAGUCUGAUGGAGCAACGCCGCGUGAGUGAAGAAGGCUUUCGGGUCGUAAAACUCUGUUGUUGGAGAAGAAUGGUCGGCAGAAUAACUGUUGUCGGCGUGACGGUAUCCAACCAGAAAGCCACGGCUAACUACGUGCCAGCAGCCGCGGUAAUACGUAGGUGGCAAGCGUUAUCCGGAUUUAUUGGGCGUAAAGCGAGCGCAGGCGGUUUUUUAAGUCUGAUGUGAAAGCCCUCGGCUUAACCGAGGAAGUGCAUCGGAAACUGGGAAACUUGAGUGCAGAAGAGGACAGUGGAACUCCAUGUGUAGCGGUGAAAUGCGUAGAUAUAUGGAAGAACACCAGUGGCGAAGGCGGCUGUCUGGUCUGUAACUGA